rnacentral:rRNA from 1 species
GACGAACGCUGGCGGCGUGCUUAACACAUGCAAGUCGAACGGAAAGGCCCUGCUUUUGUGGGGUGCUCGAGUGGCGAACGGGUGAGUAACACGUGAGUAACCUGCCCUUGACUUUGGGAUAACUUCAGGAAACUGGGGCUAAUACCGGAUAGGAGCUCCUGCUGCAUGGUGGGGGUUGGAAAUUUUCGGCGGUUGGGGAUGGACUCGCGGCUUAUCAGCUUGUUGGUGGGGUAGUGGCUUACCAAGGCUUUGACGGGUAGCCGGCCUGGGAGGGUGACCGGCCACAUUGGGACUGAGAUACGGCCCAGACUCCUACGGGAGGCAGCAGUGGGGAAUAUUGCACAAUGGGCGGAAGCCUGAUGCAGCGACGCCGCGUGCGGGAUGACGGCCUUCGGGUUGUAAACCGCUUUCGCCUGUGACGAAGCGUGAGUGACGGUAAUGGGUAAAGAAGCACCGGCUAACUACGUG